rnacentral:rRNA from 1 species
UACGUAGGGGGCAAGCGUUAUCCGGAUUUACUGGGUGUAAAGGGAGCGUAGACGGCGCUGCAAGUCCGGAGUGAAAGCCCAUGGCUUAACCAUGGUACUGCUCUGGAAACUGUUGAUCUUGAGUACUGGAGAGGCAGACGGAAUUCCUAGUGUAGCGGUGAAAUGCGUAGAUAUUAGGAGGAACACCAGUGGCGAAGGCGGUCUGCUGGACAGCAACUGACGGUGAGGCGCGAAAGCGUGGGGAGCAAACAGG